UACGUAGGGUGCGAGCGUUAAUCGGAAUUACUGGGCGUAAAGCGUGCGCAGGCGGUGAUGUAAGACAGAUGUGAAAUCCCCGGGCUCAACCUGGGAACUGCAUUUGUGACUGCAUCGCUGGAGUGCGGCAGAGGGGGAUGGAAUUCCGCGUGUAGCAGUGAAAUGCGUAGAUAUGCGGAGGAACACCGAUGGCGAAGGCAAUCCCCUGGGCCUGCACUGACGCUCACUCACGAAAGCGUGGGGAGCAAACAGG
rnacentral:rRNA from 1 species